rnacentral:rRNA from 1 species
AGGGCACCACCAGGAGUGGAGCCUGCGGCUUAAUUUGACUCAACACGGGGAAACUCACCCGGCCCGGACACCGUAAGGAUUGACAGAUUGAUAGCUCUUUCAUGAUUCGGUGGUUGGUGGUGCAUGGCCGUUCUUAGUUCGUGGAUCGAUUUGUCUGGUUUAUUCCGAUAACGAGCGAGGCUCUAGCCUACUAAAUAGUAACGAGAUUAUCAAUGUCUCAGUUGCUUCUUAGAGGGAUUUUCGGUGUUUAGCCGCACGAGAUUGAGCAAUAACAGGUCUGUGAUGCCCUUAGAUGUCCGGGGCUGCACGCGCGCUACACUGGCGAAAUCAGCGUGCUGUAUCCAUUCUUGAAAGGGAUUGGUAAACCCAUGAAAAUUUGCCGUGCUUGGGAUCGGAAAUUGCAAUUAUUUUCCGUGAACGAGGAAUUCCAAGUAAGUGCGAGUCAUCAACUCGCUCUGAUUACGUCCCUGCCCUUUGUACACACCGCCCGUCGCUGCCCGGGACUGAGCCAUUUCGAGA